rnacentral:rRNA from 1 species
ACGAUGCAGCCGAGCGGUAUUUGUCUUUCGGGACAGAGAGAGCGGCGUACGGGUGCGGAACACGUGUGCAACCUGCCUUUAUCUGGGGGAUAGCCUUUCGAAAGGAAGAUUAAUACCCCAUAAUAUAAUGAAUGGCAUCAUUUAUUAUUGAAAACUCCGGUGGAUAGAGAUGGGCACGCGCAAGAUUAGAUAGUUGGUGAGGUAACGGCUCACCAAGUCGAUGAUCUUUAGGGGGCCUGAGAGGGUGAUCCCCCACACUGGUACUGAGACACGGACCAGACUCCUACGGGAGGCAGCAGUGAGGAAUAUUGGACAAUGGGUUAGCGCCUGAUCCAGCCAUCCCGCGUGAAGGACGACGGCCCUAUGGGUUGUAAACUUCUUUUGUACAGGGAUAAACCUACUCUCGUGAGAGUAGCUGAAGGUACUGUACGAAUAAGCACCGGCUAACUCCGUGCCAGCAGCCGCGGUAAUACGGAGGGUGCAAGCGUUAUCCGGAUUUAUUGGGUUUAAAGGGUCCGUAGGCGGAUCUGUAAGUCAGUGGUGAAAUCUCACAGCUUAACUGUGAAACUGCCAUUGAUACUGCAGGUCUUGAGUAAGGUAGAAGUGGCUGGAAUAAGUAGUGUAGCGGUGAAAUGCAUAGAUAUUACUUAGAACACCAAUUGCGAAGGCAGGUCACUAUGUCUUAACUGACGCUGAUGGACGAAAGCGUGGGGAGCGACAGAAA